UAUUCCACUCUUGUUUAUUAAUGCUGUGAUUAACACGCUACACGUGUUGUGAGUUUUGAGCUUUAAACAUGAAUUUGCUUCGUGCCUGUUUCUAUCAGAUUAGAUGUGUGCCAGUAGGAUCAAGAAAAACACUUUGAAGAUCAAACAAAUAUUAAGACAUUGAGAGAAAAAGAAACAUGUUUCAAAAGUAAAACUUACUAUCUGAAUCAACUUCUUAAAAUGAGUAACAAAGUAUGUUUCCUUUUUCUGUUUGCCUCUAUGUGUUUUUGUUAUCAAUUUCCUUAGUUUCGUUCUCGCUGCUCAGAGCUUUGCUCUCACUACCAGAUUUGCACUUACACUGUCUGGCUUUCUCCUUUGCAAUCCCUGAGUUUUUGGUUGCAAUUCUGACACAACCCUUUCGGGUGGGUGGGACUUCUAAGAAGUCCUCUCCCAUAGGACAGUGGUUUCUCUUGAGUGAAAGUUCAGUGACCUGGAAGUGAUGUAGCCUCCAAGACAUUUUUUUUUUCCAGCUGGUCAACAACAUGAAUUUUGAGCCCCAAACACAUCAUUUCUGCUGUCUGUGGUGUCUACUGAGGAUCUAAAGUGAGUAUUGAUAAUAUAUUUUAUCUUUUCUUAGUUAAUCUUUAAGUUAAGCCACUUUUUAAGUUGGUUUUAACCAGACGUUAGCUCACUAGCUAGCUGCUAAGCAAGCCAUUGUGCUAGCCUCAGGACAAUGGUCUAUUGUUCCAGAGAGACGUAUUAAAAACUCAUCUUAACAUAUUCAUUACUGGUUUCAUGGAAUUAAUUAUUGCAGUUUAUGUUAAUAAGUUUGCAAAUUUUUCAGGAACCUGUGGAACAUCAGAGACUUUGCAGCUACUGGAGCUAACCUGUGUACAGCUAACUUGCUACAGAGGAAGCAGCAGAAAGCUGAGCUAACAGGCUGUUUUGCAGGUAAAUGCUCUUUUAGUGGAACUGCAGGAUUUUUAUGGUAUAACUCAGACAGAAUUUACAUGAGCUUUUGUGGGAAGACAUUUAAACUACAUUUAUAUACAGAUACAUGUAUUAUUUAUUCCAUGUUACAUGGACGGGCUAAACAAGUUCAUAGUUCUGCCUGCUCCUUUUUCAGUGAAACAAAUGGAUUAUAUGAUGUAACUCUGACUGAAUGAUUAUCUAAGUGAGUAUGUUUGAUAAUAAAUUUCUUUCCAGUAUACAGAUCUGCCAUUUGUUUGUCAGAACAGGACACAUCAGAUUCAAUGUGCUUUCUGCCACGUGUUCUGUAUUCUCCAUCAAAAGAAUGUUAUUCAGAUUGAAAACUACUGCAUUGCAUUACAAUGGAAGUGCUACACGGCCACAUGCAUCAACUGCAGCUGGUGAGCUAAGACACACAUAGUGUACACAAAGUACACUGCAGACAAGGUAUGUAAGAAAAUAUCAAUAUGACAAUAUGUUGCGAUAUAUUUUCCCAGUGAUAUUGUAUCGAUGUUCUCAAACUGUAUCUCUAAAAUAUCGAUAUGGCAAUAUAUCGUGAUAUUUUUUCCUGAGAUAUUACAUCCAUUUUCAAAAGCAGUGUAUCUAAUUUUUGGAAGAAUUUACAUGCAAACAUUUGUGUAUUUUCUUUGUUUUUGGUGCACUUUAAAUGUCGACCGCUAGUUGGCAGCAAUAUGCAUUGGGUUUUGUUUCCACCAUUGAAAUUUAAAUCUUGCUAUUAUGGUUCAGAUAACUCAUGUUAAACAUGUUAAGUAUCAGUUUGGACUGUUUAUUGAAUAUUCCUACAAUAAAUUCAGUCAAAAAUACACAUCCCUACUGCAGACCAAUCCCACCUCAUGUAUUUCAUAGGCUGUAUAAUAAACCCACAGUGAUGGUUAUGGAUAAAUAUCUGUACUAAUGGUAAUCUUUUUCCAUUGUUUCCAGUUGACAAGCAUAUGGACCUAUUGUUCGAGUCUGUGGUGGUGGAUGCUCUAUCAUAUCAGGAGUCUAAGUACCUGUGCCUGAACCUCUCUGUGUCUAGUUCAAAAGACCUGCUGUAAGCAGGCACAGGUUAAGAUUUUAAAAGAACCUGCAAGGUUGCCUGAUGCUGAACUUCAGGCAGCUGCGUGUGACUGUACUCCCGUGGAACAACCACCUGUCAGGAGUUUGGGUCGGAGUCCUGGCAGAUCUAUGGAAAUUAUUUCCUUGAAGCUCCUGAUCACACAACCAUACUGGCAGUCGGCUUACCCACUACCUUCUGCUCACCCGCUUGCAACUCAUGCUGUCAUUCUCCCAGACUUCUGGUUGUUUCUCCACCAUUCUGCUGUCUCCCGUCUGCGCUACAACUUCAGACCGUAAGUACCUAAACGUUUCCUUUUGUAAGUCAUUCUUUAGUCAUUACUAACACUCAAUUUUACCUCAGGGCCUUCUGAUCUUUAAACACUAAAACCUGUUGCUCCAUCUCUGUGGCGUUUCUCAGUCUCUGUAAGCUACCUGCACAGUCUAAGAAAAACCUGACCUGUUGCCUUUUACUAACCUCUGCUCUUCCUCGCAGAAGCUUCUGGUUCCUGAUCUCCAGCAAUUACCUCUUCAGUCAUCCGUCAAACAUUUAAAUAAACUGUCUUUAGCUCAUU